rnacentral:lncRNA from 1 species
UCAACCUCUCCAUCUUCUGAUAAAGACCUAGGAGGAUGACUUGCUUAUUUCACAUGAUAUGCAAAGAUGUAAUGCCUAAUGUCCUACCAAAUGAAAUGCAAAAUGCUAAGCUAGUCCCAAGAGAGGAGGGCAAAUUUUGAGGUGUUACACUUUAGCUCAAGGAAUUCAAUCUCUUUGUUGCUACAAACAUUAGUAGGAAAGUACUUCUCAAGGAAUUUAGAGUUGAAAUUCUCCAAAGUGAUCUUAGUACCUGCAGCUUCAAGCCUCUGAGGGGCAUUAUCCUA